rnacentral:rRNA from 1 species
AACGUAGGUGGCAAGCGUUAUCCGGAAUUACUGGGCGUAAAGGGUGUGCAGGCGGGGCGGGAAGUGGUGUAUGAAAUAUCCCAGCUUAACUGGGAGGGGUUAUGCCAGACUGCUACUCUAGAGGACGAGAGAGGGGCGUGGAAUUCCGGGUGUAGUGGUGAAAUGCGUAGAUAUCAGGAGGAACACCGGUGGCGAAGGCGGCUACCUGGACAGAGUCUGACGCUGAGGCACGAAAGCUAGGGGAGCAAACAGG